rnacentral:rRNA from 1 species
CGCCCGCUCAGAAACUCAAAUGAAUUGACGGGGGCCCGCACAAGCGGAGGAACAUGUGGUUUAAUUCGAUGAUACGCGAGGAACCUUACCCGGGCUUGAAAUGCAUCUGACCGGCCUUGAAAGAGGCACUCCCUUCGGGGCAGAUGUGUAGGUGCUGCAUGGUUGUCGUCAGCUCGUGCCGUGAGGUGUCGGCUUAAGUGCCAUAACGAGCGCAACCCUCAUCAUUAGUUACCAUCAGGUAAGGCUGGGGACUCUAAUGAGACUGCCAUCGUAAGAUGUGAGGAAGGUGGGGAUGACGUCAAAUCAGCACGGCCCUUACGUCCGGGGCGACACACGUGUUACAAUGGGUGGUACAAAGGGCAGCUACCUGGCGACAGGAUGCUAAUCUCGAAAACCGCUCUCAGUUCGGAUCGGAGUCUGCAACUCGACUCCGUGAAGCUGGAUUCGCUAGUAAUCGCGCAUCAGCCACGGCGCGGUGAAUACGUUCCCGGGCCUU